rnacentral:rRNA from 1 species
UACGUAGGGGGCGAGCGUUGUCCGGAUUUAUUGGGCGUAAAGGGCGCGUAGGCGGCCCGCUAAGUCGAACGUGAAAUCCCCGAGCUCAACUCGGGAACUGCGUCCGAUACUGGCGGGCUUGAAUCCGGGAGAGGGAUGCGGAAUUCCAGGUGUAGCGGUGAAAUGCGUAGAUAUCUGGAGGAACACCGGUGGCGAAGGCGGCAUCCUGGACCGGCAUUGACGCUGAGGCGCGAAAGCUAGGGGAGCAAACGGG